CGCACGGGUGAGUAACACGUGUCCAACCUGCCGUCUACUCUUGGACAGCCUUCUGAAAGGAAGAUUAAUACAAGAUGGCAUCAUGAGUCCGCAUGUUCACAUGAUUAAAGGUAUUCCGGUAGACGAUGGGGAUGCGUUCCAUUAGAUAGUAGGCGGGGUAACGGCCCACCUAGUCUUCGAUGGAUAGGGGUUCUGAGAGGAAGGUCCCCCACAUUGGAACUGAGACACGGUCCAA
rnacentral:rRNA from 1 species